rnacentral:rRNA from 1 species
GUGUCAGCAGCCGCGGUAAUACCAGCUCUCCGAGUGGUGGGGACGUUUAUUGGGCCUAAAGCAUCCGUAGCCAGCUGAGCAAGUCCCCAGUUAAAUCCAGCGAUUUAAUCGUUGGACUGCUGGGGAUACUGUCCGGCUAGGGGGUGGGAGAGGCCGACGGUAUUCCCGGGGUAGGGGUGAAAUCCUAUAAUCCCGGGAGGACCACCAGUGGCGAAGGCUGUUGGCUAAAACAUGCCCGACGGUGAGGGAUGAAAGCUGGGGGAGCGAACCGGAUUAGAUACCCGGGUAGUCCCAGCUGUAAACGAUGCAGGCUAGGUGUUAGGGCGGCCACGUGCCGCUCUAGUGCCGCAGGGAAGCUGUUAAGCCUGCCGCCUGGGGAGUACGGCCGCAAGGCUGAAACUUAAAGGAAUUGACGGGG